UUUUCCGCAAUGGGCGAAAGCCUGACGGAGCAACGCCGCGUGAGUGAGGACGGCCUUCGGGUUGUAAAACUCUGUUCCUGAGGAAGAAUUCCUUCCAGGCGAACAGCCUGGAAGGUUGACGGUACGCAAGGAGAACGCCCCGGCUAACUACGUGCCAGCAGCCGCGGUAAUACGUAGGGGGCGAGCGUUAUCCGGAAUUAUUGGGCGUAAAGCGCGCGCAGGCGGCUGAUUAAGUCAGGUGUGAAAGGCUGCGGCUCAACCGCAGAGCGGCACCUGAAACUGGUCGGCUUGAGUGCAGGAGAGGGGAGCGGAAUUCCCGGUGUAGCGGUGGAAUGCGUAGAGAUCGGGAGGAACACCAGUGGCGAAGGCGGCUCUCUGGCCUGUAACUGACGCUGAGGCGCGAGAGCGUGGGGAGCAAACAGG
rnacentral:rRNA from 1 species